GACGAUGGACAUCCCCGACGGGGUGAGCAUCAAGAUCAACGCCAAGGUCAUCGAGGUGGAGGGCCCCCGGGGCAAGCUCACCCGCAACUUCAAGCACCUCAACCUCGACUUCCAGCUCAUCCGGGACGAGGCCACCGGCGGCCGGAAGCUCCGCAUCGAGGCCUGGUUCGGCACCCGCAAGACCUCCGCCGCCAUCCGCACCGCCCUCAGCCACGUCGAGAACCUCAUCACCGGCGUCACCAAGGGGUACCGCUACAAGAUGCGCUUCGUCUACGCCCACUU
rnacentral:lncRNA from 1 species